GGCUGCAGGGCGCGCGGCCGAGCGCGAUGGAGGCGUCUUCCCCGCCUGGGCGUGGUGGGCAGCGAACGACCUGGCACCUUUGCUCAGAAGGACGGGGUUCGCCGUGAAUUGGAGCUGCGGCGUGGGCAGGAGUGGGUUUCCAGCGCCCCCCACCCACCCGCGACUCCAUCAGACGACCCCGAAGCCACGCGGAGAGAACUAGCUAAAUAAAUCCCCGGUUGCUAGGCAACGGCCGCUGCCAGACAAAAGCCCCGGCUUGGGCUCCAAUCAGCGUGCGGCUCUCCGGGCCCCGCCUGCGUAGGACUCGCGUGGCGCGACCUGACGCUGACACCUUUACACCAAAAAUUGGGUAUCUGCGGCCACAGGGUCGUCCCUGCCGGGCAGAAGCAGGCGUCAAACAACAGGCUAAAUAAAUCUUUCACGGCUUUAUCGAUAUUGACAGAACACGAGUGGACUGUUGACAACAAAGCAGUAGCCAGAGGGUCAUCAUGUUCAUGUUGGCUCUCUGAACUCGGAUUCUCUCCGAACAAAGCAUAUGGGCCCCAGAUGCAUGCUUGAACACAAAACGGUCUUCACUAUAGGCGAGGAAUGCUGAGCUCGGAAACUACUAUGUUUUAUGGCGAGCAGUGAGCAAGCCUGUUCUUUGUUCCACAGAGAGACAUUACCUCAUCUCUCAAAACUGCUCCUUGCAAACACAACUCCGAAAAAAAGACCCAAAGAAAGAGUGAUCAAUCUUGCAUUCUUGGCACACCCAACGAGAGCAUGCACUGACACUACUGGUGAAUUGUCUCCACAAACAGUAAGUGACGGAGUCCUGUCCGAUGCCAGGCCCAUUUCAUUCCAUGCGUACAAUUUAACAACAAGGAUUUUAAACAUUGUCAUGCCUCUAAAAACGGGCGAUGCCCCUUAAAAUAGAAUAAUAAAAUAAAACCAGCCGUUUAUAAGUA